rnacentral:tRNA from 1 species
GGAGAGCUGGCAGAGUGGUUGAAUGCACUGGUCUUGAAAACCAGCAGGCGUUAAUAGCGUCUCCGGGGUUCGAAUCCCUGGCUCUCCGCCA